CUAAAUUACUUCAGAAUUUAAUUUGUCAAGUUUUGAAGAAUGGGAGCACGGAGCUGGAAUUGAAAAAAGAGCAUUUUAAAGGCUUAAAUUUGGUGGAAAUUAAUUUGGAGCUGCCGUGUGGGACCGUAGGACCCACAUGGGUACCCCUGUUUCCUGAAACAGCUCCAUGCAUGUGUUGCACAAGAGUGCAUGCACAUGAAGAAUGCAAAUGCAGCUGGCACUUUUGGAAUUCCAUACACGUGCACAAGAGUACCGUUGGUACCUUUUUGUAGGAAUAUUCCUUGCUGUCAUAACUACCUCCCUUAUUGGACUUAAAUGCCCUUGUUGCUGCUGUUUUAAGUUUGCUUUUAUUUGGGACGUUUUUUGUCUUUUAGUAUUUUAAUCUUUGUUUGGACUUAAACCUCCUUGUAACUGCUAUUAAAGCAGGGACAUUUUAGUCUUUAGCAUCUGGGCCAAGAGGCUAUAAAUAUAUAUAAUGAGAAGCUGGACGACACACAAUUGAUACUAAAUGAAGAAAUUUUUCUGCUCCAUUAGCGAGUGAUUGGCUGUUGCCUUUGUUCUUAUGAAACUCAUUAACUUGUUAAGAUUA
rnacentral:misc_RNA from 1 species